CGUCCAAUUCCUGAUUGGAUUCCUGGUCACAGAGUCCUCAGUCAGUGACUGUUGAUCACAUAUGGCCUUCAGCAUCUGAAAGACACGGAGCAGAGCCACAUCAGAUUCAGCAAAUCCACCAUAAUCCUGGGGAAACAAAGGCCAUACUUAGAGAAACCUGAGAGCCUCAAGGCAGACCAGCUCCAUGAGCUGGGCCAGCUGGGCCACCGAGCUGAAAUCCCAUACAGAGACUCGGGAGUUUUCAGAACAGCAGAUGGGGGCCAAAGGGGUCCUGAAGCAGGCUUAUCUGGCAGGAGUGUGAGCUCAAACCCUGACCCUCGCCUUCUCACUUGAACACAUCGGGGUCGAAGAGAGCACCAGCAGCCAGUGCAGCCUUGUACAGCUCCUUUGUUCCCAGCACCUUCUUCCACCAAAGGGCCAGCUUCUGCAGUGUCGCUGACUCCAGUCCUGUGGCUGUCCAGACAGAGUCCAACCUCACAGACUGCAACAGUUCCUGCCGCCUGAAAAAAAAAGUAAGUGCUUAAAGCUGAAGGCCUGGGGGAGAGGCUGGGAGCAGUAGGAUGCCUUCUCUUGAAACAGCAGAGCUGUAUCUGUCCAGGACAUGGUCUGUGUGCUCACUGAAUCAUAACAACAACACAAUGUGAACAUUAUAGAGGAUGGCAUUUGAGGAUCCAGCAGUUCAAGCCUUUUCAACACCAUUUACAGAAAGGUGCAUGUCUGAAAGAGAAGCUUUACAGAAGUUCCCAAAAGAGCCAGAGCCAUUUGAGCCACCAGCACAAACUAUGAAGCAGUUUUUUAAAGAAGCUAUACAAUUUUUCUGCUAAGGCUGAGUCUGGAAUCCUUCUCUCAAAGGAGUCAUGCCUCUGUUCACUGCCAGCAGAGAGA